AACUGGGAGGAGAACAAGGAGAUCACAGGCUCCAAACAAGACCAAGCUUUCUCUUGGGAAAUGAGCUUUUCUCCCAGAUGGAGCUCCAUCUGCCCUUGCAGGAUCAGCUCCCCCAAGUGUGCCCUGCUCCACCCUGGGGUUGACCAGCCAGCUCAGCCUGCCUGCCAAUAUGAUGCCUGGAAUUGUCUGUGGUUCUGGGGGCCAAGCCUUGUCAGGAUCAUCACGUAAGGGUGUGUAUGUGCGGAAGGGUGGUGGCUGAGGCUCAGGAUUCAAGGACUAUGGACCAUGGUGGGAAAGUAGAGAAUUGGAGCAGUGACAGGUCAGGGACAUCCCUUCUGAUGUUCCUCAGUUCUCUUCUGUUCUCUGGGCUUCAGCAAUCUGCUGUCUCUUGAACCCAGUGAGGGGAGGGGUGAGUCAGGCAGAAGAAUGAGCUCAGGUAGGAUGGCACGUCAGCAGCCUGGAGUCUGACACCGGCCAAGACACUCAGUGGCAGAGUAACAGGUAUCCGAAAGGUUCAGCUUGAGUGGGUGCCUGGGAUGGCUCACCCAGGUGGCUGGCACUGGAUGCCAGCUCUCAUGCUGGACUCAACUGGGCUGUUGACUGCACAUGACCUCUGCAUGGGCAAGGGCUUUUCACACCGGGGUGCUGGGUUCCACGAGGCAGGAAGAGGAUGCUGCUAGGCCAGGUAAGAGUUGUGGCAGCACUGGCACGGCAUCACUUUCUUUCUAUUCUAUUGGUCAAAACAAUCACAGCAUCGACCCUUGGAAACAUAGAUGUCACAUCUUGAUAGGGAAAUGGCAAGGUCACAUUUCAAAAGAGAAGAUAGGAUGGGAGAUAUUGUUGCGGCCAUCUUUGGGAAAUACAAUCUGCCACAGUUGCAUAGCAUUAUUGAAGCAAUGAGUAACACAGACAGACAUUUUUAUUUUCCAGGUCUCCAUCUUCCUUGCAGCACUGCUUUCUGUCCAGCCUCCCUGCAUACCCACUUCAUCACACAGGGAAUGGCAAACACUGAGCUGCUGGGGGAAAGGCCUGCAGGGCCCUUCUGAGCUUUGUCGCCAGCUCUGGGGUCAGCAGGAAAGAAUGCAGUGACUGACCAGUGAUCACUGCCUCAAGGACCACGAGAAGAGGGGAAAGCCCUGGUAUGAAUGAGCUUGUACCCUUCACCUCGCUGCGUCUUGGUUUCCUCUUUUACAUUUUUCUAAGGAUUCUUCAGUAUGGAUAUGAGGAAAUAUAAUUGUCUAAUUUCAUUAGAGAGUGGAUCCAGGCAAUGCAAGCCGAGUGCUUUGCCAGUACUAGGUGCGGUGGAGGAAAAAAUUAGAUUAUUCACAGGUUCAAAUUGAGAUUCUCACCUUAUUACUCACACAGAGAGACUAAAGGUAUCAAUUUCUGCUCUCCCCAGCCAGGCCUACCCACAGGAGCUAGAGAUAUUCAACUGCCUUAUUUAGCUUCACCCAGGCCCAGGAGCUGCUGAAAUUAGACCUGGCCUGGUAGUGGGAACCCCAUCUGGGCAGUGGGAGAGAAAGGGUUAAGAUCUGUGAUCAUCGCAUGUUCUUACUCAUAAGUGGAAGCC
rnacentral:lncRNA from 1 species